rnacentral:lncRNA from 13 species
AUGUCUUUAGAUGAAGGCACACUUUUAAACAUAGACAUGUAGCUUAGAAGGUAUAUAAGCUCUGGAAAACUUUGUAAUUUUGAGCUGGUCUGGUGAUAAUUUCCAGGUCUUCCUCCUGUAACUGGUUACAGAAGUACAAACUUGUCUCCUCUACAGUUCACCUGCAUCUUGUUAUUGGGCCAUGAGGAAUCACAGCCCCACCCUUAGUUUGAUUGGGGAACAAAAGUUGGCGAGCCAGCCGGGAGAGAAUAGGACGGUGCUUCAUUCAGUGGUCGGCAGCUUGGGACUAGACGAUCUUCAGGAGAAUGCUGUUGGAUGAGAUUUUUCCCAGGGACCUUCCCAAGAGCUGUCCCAUGUGCAAAAUUACGUACCUUUCACUACUGGGAAGAAAGGAAAUCAGGAGCAGAUGCACUUGAAGUAGACAGGUUUUCGCUAUGUUUCCCAGAAUCACCUGAACUCCUGGCUCAAGUGAUCCACCUGCCUUGCCCUCCUAAAGUUCUGGAAUUACAGAUGACCCUUCUAAUACCAUGCCAUAACAUGCCACUGCUCUGCUCAAAAUCUUGCCAUUGUCGAAGUUCAUGCAAGGCCCUGCAGGACCUGGCCUCCUAG